rnacentral:rRNA from 1 species
AAAUUGAAGAGUUUGAUCAUGGCUCAGAUUGAACGCUGGCGGCAGGCCUAACACAUGCAAGUCGAACGGUAACAGGAAGAAGCUUGCUUCUUUGCUGACGAGUGGCGGACGGGUGAGUAAUGUCUGGGAAACUGCCUGAUGGAGGGGGAUAACUACUGGAAACGGUAGCUAAUACCGCAUAACGUCGCAAGACCAAAGAGGGGGGGACCUUCGGGCCUCUUGCCAUCGGAUGUGCCCAGAUGGGAUUAGCUAGUAGGUGGGGUAACGGCUCACCUAGGCGACGAUCCCUAGCUGGUCUGAGAGGAUGACCAGCCACACUGGAACUGAGACACGGUCCAGACUCCUACGGGAGGCAGCAGUGGGGAAUAUUGCACAAUGGGCGCAAGCCUGAUGCAGCCAUGCCGCGUGUAUGAAGAAGGCCUUCGGGUUGUAAAGUACUUUCAGCGGGGAGGAAGGGAGUAAAGUUAAUACCUUUGCUCAUUGACGUUACCCGCAGAAGAAGCACCGGCUAACUCCGUGCCAGCAGCCGCGGUAAUACGGAGGGUGCAAGCGUUAAUCGGAAUUACUGGGCGUAAAGCGCACGCAGGCGGUUUGUUAAGUCAGAUGUGAAAUCCCCGGGCUCAACCUGGGAACUGCAUCUGAUACUGGCAAGCUUGAGUCUCGUAGAGGGGGGUAGAAUUCCAGGUGUAGCGGUGAAAUGCGUAGAGAUCUGGAGGAAUACCGGUGGCGAAGGCGGCCCCCUGGACGAAGACUGACGCUCAGGUGCGAAAGCGUGGGGAGCAAACAGGAUUAAUACCCUGGUAGUCCACGCCGUAAACGAUGUCGACUUGGAGGUUGUGCCCUUGAGGCGUGGCUUCCGGAGCUAACGCGUUAAGUCGACCGCCUGGGGAGUACGGCCGCAAGGUUAAAACUCAAAUGAAUUGACGGGGGCCCGCACAAGCGGUGGAGCAUGUGGUUUAAUUCGAUGCAACGCGAAGAACCUUACCUGGUCUUGACAUCCACGGAAGUUUUCAGAGAUGAGAAUGUGCCUUCGGGAACCGUGAGACAGGUGCUGCAUGGCUGUCGUCAGCUCGUGUUGUGAAAUGUUGGGUUAAGUCCCGCAACGAGCGCAACCCUUAUCCUUUGUUGCCAGCGGUCCGGCCGGGAACUCAAAGGAGACUGCCAGUGAUAAACUGGAGGAAGGUGGGGAUGACGUCAAGUCAUCAUGGCCCUUACGACCAGGGCUACACACGUGCUACAAUGGCGCAUACAAAGAGAAGCGACCUCGCGAGAGCAAGCGGACCUCAUAAAGUGCGUCGUAGUCCGGAUUGGAGUCUGCAACUCGACUCCAUGAAGUCGGAAUCGCUAGUAAUCGUGGAUCAGAAUGCCACGGUGAAUACGUUCCCGGGCCUUGUACACACCGCCCGUCACACCAUGGGAGUGGGUUGCAAAAGAAGUAGGUAGCUUAACCUUCGGGAGGGCGCUUACCACUUUGUGAUUCAUGACUGGGGUGAAGUCGUAACAAGGUAACCGUAGGGGAACCUGCGGUUGGAUCACCUCCUUA